UUCCCCUAGUAACUGCGAGUGAAGCGGGAAAAGCUCAAAUUUAAAAUCUGGUGGUCUCUGGCCACUCGAGUUGUAGUCUGGAGAAGUGUCUUCUGUGUCGGACCGUGUACAAGUCUCCUGGAAUGGAGCGUCAUAGAGGGUGAGAAUCCCGUCUUUGACACGGACAACCGGCGCUCUGUGAUGCGCUCUCGAAGAGUCGAGUUGUUUGGGAAUGCAGCUCAAAAUGGGUGGUGAAUUCCAUCUAAAGCUAAAUAUUGGCGAGAGACCGAUAGCGAACAAGUACCGUGAGGGAAAGAUGAAAAGCACUUUGGAAAGAGAGUUAAACAGUACGUGAAAUUGUUGAAAGGGAAACGCUUGAAGUCAGUCACGCCCAUCAGAAUCAGCCUGCAACCUGCCUGUGUAUUUCUGGCGUCGGGCCAGCAUCAAAUUGAACAACGGAUAAAGUGAGGGAAAUGUGGCCACCUUCGGGUGUGGUUAUUAGUUCCCUCCAUCGCAAUGCCGAUGUUGGGAUUGAAGGACUCCAGCAACGCCCUUGUGGGCGGGGGCAUUGCCCACGCUCGUGCUUAGGAUGCUGGCAUAAUGGCUUUAAGCGACCCGUCUUGAAACACGGACCAAGGAGUCUAACAUGCCCGCGAGUGUUUGGGUGGAAAACCCAUGCGCGCAAUGAAAGUGAAAGUUUGGGACCUCUGUCAUGGAGGGCACCGAAGCCCGGCCCUGAAGUUCUCUGACGGUGCUGCGGUGGAGCGUGCAUGUUGGGACCCGAAAGAUGGUGAACUAUGCCUGAAAUAAGGGUGGAAGGCCAGAGGAAACUCUUGGUGGAGGGUCUCGUAGCGAUUCUGACGGUGCAAAUCCGAUCCGUUCAAAUUUGGGGUAAUAGGGCGCGAAGAGACUAAUUCGAACCAUUCUAGUAGCUGGUUCCUUGCCGAAGUUUCCCUCAGGAAUAGCAGAAGCUCACCUCAUCAGAUUUAUGUGGUAAAGCGAAUGAUUAGAGGCCUUGGGGUUGAAACAACCUUAACCUAUUCUCAAACUUUAAAUAUGUAAGAACGAGCCGUCGCUUGGUUGGACCGCUCGGCGAUUGAGAGCUUCUAGUGGGCCAUUUUUGGUAAGCAGAACUGGCGAUGCGGGAUGAACCGAACGGGAGGUUAAGGUGCCGGAAUACACGCUCAUCAGACACCACAAAAGGUGUUAGUUCAUCUAGACAGCAGGACGGUGGCCAUGGAAGUCGGAACCCGCUAAGGAGUGUGUAACAACUCACCUGCCGAAUGAACUAGCCCUGAAAAUGGAUGGCGCUCAAGCGUGUUACCCAUACCUCCCCGUCGGCGUUGAAGUGACGCGUCGACGAGUAGGCAGGCGUGGAGGUCUCGUGAAGAAGCCUGGCGGUGACGCUUGGAAACCCA
rnacentral:rRNA from 1 species